UAAGGUAAACACUGCGCGAUGGCUUUCCACUCUUAGCGUCUACAGACAGACAAAGCUCGGAAGACGCAUCAGAGACAACACGAGGAUCCAGGUUCAUUUCCCAGCACCCACACAAUAGCUCCCAGUCGUCUAUCAGGGAAUUCGACGCUGCUUCUGCUUCCACAGCUACUCUCUGCAGCUGGCAAACGGACUAUAUGCAGGGACCUCCUCAGCAACCCCACAUCAGCCCCAACCAUGGCCGAUCAGACAAGCGCUCCCAGCAUCAAUAGGUUAUUCCAGUGGACCUUGCAGAUUUUCAAUACAGUGAUUCUUUGGUAUCCACAAAGGUUUCCAGAAUCCCUUAAGAUACUAUAACUUCCCGGGCUGGAGAGAUGGCUCAGUGGUUAAG